rnacentral:rRNA from 1 species
ACGGAGGGGGCAAGCGUUGUUCGGAGUUACUGGGCGUAAAGGGCGCGUAGGCGGUGCAACAAGUCAGGCGUGAAAGCCCCGGGCUUAACCUGGGAAUUGCGCUUGAUACUGUUGCGCUAGAGAUCGGGAGAGGAUGGCGGAAUUCCCAGUGUAGAGGUGAAAUUCGUAGAUAUUGGGAAGAACACCGGUGGCGAAGGCGGCCAUCUGGACCGCAUCUGACGCUGAGGCGCGAAAGCUAGGGGAGCAAACGGGA